AUGGUAGGCUCUUUUGGUGGUGGAUUAUGUUGUAUCAUGCAAGUAUUGUAUGAAUCUGUCUUCUUCUUGCAGUUGUACGCAUCUAAGGCUAAAGGGUUAUAUAUGGUGUAAUAAUUAAUGAUAAUGUAGACUUCUUGUAAAAAUAAGAUCCAAGAGACCAUGUGUAUAUUCUUUAUGAAUGGGUAAUAUGUGAAAUCUGUUUCCAUUAUAUAAAAAGGAUAUCAACUAUUCAUUUUAUUUCCCUUACUCGCUCUUUCCUCUUUAAUUAUUUUCAUAGAAUUCAAAAGGAACUAUUCUUAAAUUGCAUAUUUAUAACCAUAUAUAUGUCCCAUGCGGGCUGUCACUCCAGCUUAUCCAGGCCCUACCAAAUAUUACUAUAUUGAAUCUUGACAGAAAAACUAUCAGAACGUAUGGACUGGUUGUGGCUGAGGUGGGCAGCCUGAACUUGUUCGUGUAGUACUUUAUGAUAGAUGCUGUGUCUUUUUGCCAGAUUAUUUAUACAUAUGGAACACGAUGGGUGUUGUCCAACAUGCACUAUUGUGCGUGUCUAUAUAGAAGAAGAAGAUGAGAUGAGAUCCACACUCGAUGACCAAUUCUCUUCAAAUUUGUACCUUUUUGUAAAUAAGUUGAAAAUUGUGGGGGCCACAUGACAAGAUCAAACUCUCUCACAUGCUUCAACCUUCUUUUUCUUUCUUUCUUGUUCUCCCAGUCUCACCUCUUUCACGCAUUAUGUCUUUUUCUCUUCGUUUUUUCUUUUCUUUUCUCUCCCCUUAAAUAAAAUGGUAUACUUUUACUGUAUGGUCAUCACAUUAAAAAAAAAAACACACACACACACAUACUAAACACACAAUUAUGUUUUCACAUUUUAAAAAAUGUUAUUUGAUAUAUGGUACUAAACAAAUUUUGUACAUUAUGAGUACUUUAAACAUAUGUUUUCAGUUUUCACAAUAUUUUUUAAACCACAGUUUUCACAUCGUUUUAAAAACUAAUACUUGAGCAUAACUACCAAACAUGCCUAAGAAAGAUUUCACAAUUCACUCCAAUAUCAAUGGACUUGGUCUGCGAUUGAAUGCUGUAAAAGAUUUGUGUCCCAUUACCCUCUACCAAUUGGUUGUUGGAUGGAUCGGUAAAGCAUACAGUUCGACAAGUGAUAUCAGAGCUCGGUCAUGGGUUCGAGUCAUUGGAGCCGCAUUGUGAGGGAGGGAUUAUGAGGAAUUUCACAAUUCGCUCCAAUACCAAUGGGCUUGGUCUGCGAUCGAAUGCUAUUAAAGAUUUGUGUCCCCUCAUCCUUCAUCAAUUGGUCGUUGGAUGGAUCGGUAAGGCACACGGUCCGACAAUGCCCAUAUUCUUCAAAUAGCAUUCUUGAGAGAAAUAUUGUGAAUUUCCAUAUAAUGGUGAAGAGUUUAUCUUAAAGUGAAUAUUAAUCACUAUUUAUUGGGUCAGCUAUGUUUCCAUAAUGAAUUCCAUGAUGUAAUUUGCAUUAAUAAGGAAUAACAUAAAUUGAGGGAUACAUAAAAUUGUUCUUCAAAUAGAUUAGUUUCAUCCAUGAACCUAACCAAAACUCAUUUUAAUCAACAUAACUAUACCUUUUAGAGUAAAGUAGGUCUAUAAUACGAGGAAGCCAAUCACAAAGAAAAUUUUCAAAUAAAAAUAGGAAGGGGAAAGUGGAAGCCACCACCACUUCAGGUGUGAAUACAAUGGAGCUAUUUUUGGGAGUUUGAAAGCAAUUAACACUUCUUGAUAUUUUCAACAGAAAUGUCCAAUAUUCAUAUUCACACUCCUAACUAUCAAAUUAUCUUUAAAAAGAAAAAAAGAAAUCAAUUGGCAUAGGCGUGAUAAUAAUAAGAGAAUGGUUGUGUUUGAAUCUCUCUCUCUCUCUCUCUCCACCCCCCACUCAAUCACCCACUUAGUCAAAACUGUUCGAGAUCGGAGUCCCUUCAAUUGGAUUGGGUCAAUAGGGUGAAUAGGGUUUAGAAAGUUGUAGAGUCUAACAUUAAGGGGAAAUUUGGCAUUUAGCAAUAUUUUAGCAACUAUUUAGUUAGUUGUCAAGUUUGCAAACUAGCAUCUCGAGGGUUUGAAACUCAAGUUCCGGUGUUGGGUUUGUGGGUCUCUUCUUCUUCUUCUCUUUCUUUCUUCUUUAUUCUUCUUCUCUAAGAUAUGUAAAAAUUGAGUGUGUUAGACUCGAUUUCUCACGUCAAACUCGAGUCUGUUAGGCGUAAGAUGUAAAUUUUCUAAAUAGUUUUGAAAAUAUGCUAACUAAUGAAAUUAUUAGCAAAAUGGUGUUAUAUUGCCAAAAAAAAAAAAACUCUAACAUUAAUCAAUAGACAUAGAUUAUAAUUUCUAUCAUGUAAAAAAUAAUAAUAAUAACAAAGGGUUCGGUCGAGCUUACAAACUCCACCAUGGCCUGCACCGCCACCAAUAAAACAAACCAAAUUGGGCCGAAUUGAACUGCAAAGUGCAAACAAACAUCGGAAAGAAAACAUUAUUACCCAAGAACAAGAGCAAGAUCGCGUGAUCUGUCUUUCUCUGACAAUUUCAAAACCGAAAUGACACACAGCGCAUGACGUUGAUUCAAAUCUCACUCACAUAGACAUAGACAUAGACAUGGCCACAGAAAGAGAGAGACACGCUUCUUCUUUACCCUCAACAUCACACCAAGACAACGCCCUGUAAGUCUUCUCUCUACUUAAACCCAACUACUUCGUUUCGUUUCGUUUUAGCAACAUUCCUGCUUAAUUCCUAUCAUUUGCUGCCGUUUGGUUCUCGAGAAUUCUUUUAAUCGGAAAAUAUCUCUUGCAGUUGUUUCAUAAUAGACUUGUAAGCUUGUGACUUGUGAUCCAUAUUGAUUAUCGAAAUUCAUAAUUUAUUACCACUGACUUAAGUUGCGUUUGGCUGUCAUGAAAGUUUUUUUCCUAGAUAAUUAGUCAAAAACUUUGCAAUGGUGGAUUCAGAUUCAGAUUCAGAUUCAGAUGCAGAUGCUGAUCGUUUCAAUUUCAAUGGUUUGUGGUCAUUUUAGGUUUCUAGAUAUACUGCACGAGGCUCCUUUAUUCGGUGACCGCAAGUCCAGAAGCAUAUUUGGGAGUGUCUUCUACUGUUUUUGCUUGGCAAGUACAAACUCUGGCUUUAAUUGCAUUGUUUUAUGUAAUGUUUUUGCUGACCUGACUAAUAAUGUUGGGUCGGGUCGAUUUUAGGCAGCUUUUGUCGUGUUGGCCGUGGGAGCUCCAUGGAUUUUUCAUCCUAUACAAUACUUGAUUGCGCCGUUGCUUUGCAGUUGCAAUGUUGCUCUUUUACUAGUCACAGGUUUUUGAAUUCAGUGGCUCUUAUCUUUAUCUGAUUUUACAAUCUUUUUUAUCUCUGAAAUUACAUUUGUAUGUAAUGACUUUGUUGCAGUAUUAUUUUUUAUAGUAUUGAUUGAAAUCUUACAUUACUUUGAAGAUGCACCAUACAUAAAGCAUACCUACUUAUUUGUUUAAUUAUCCCAUUGAAGGUUAAGUGUGUCUUAUUCUGUUAUUUUGUGGAACUGAAUCAUGGGAACAUGAUAUACUGUUAUACUAGGACAUGUACUUCUUGGAUGAUUUUAUUUUUACUCUCUUGGUGCUUGAUGUCAAUGAGUUCUAGCUCAAAUGGUUCAUUCUCCUUCUAUAAUAAUGAGAUAAAGAAUCAGGUAUGAGUACAAGACCCACGGAGUGUGUGUAACUUAUCAAUUAUACAUCUGCGUGUGUAUGGUUUUUGGUGAUUGAUUGUCCUCCAUUCCAACUUUGUUGUAUACAAUUAGUUCUUUUUUGAGUUCUACUUUUGUUUGUACCGUAUCUUGAAUAGAGUAGGCAUGCUGCCAAUGUAGGGAAUCAAUCCACUAAUGAAGAUAUCUCAAUGUCGCAGGCAUAUUUCAACAAUAUCUGGUUUAUCAAGUCCAUAAAAUACGCUUGCAGGUAAUAUAUAUAUAUCAGUUACAUAGUUAACCGUCUAUUUUCUGCUCUCUCUCUCUCUACCUAUGUGAUGAAGAUGCUCUUUCUCACAACCCCUCAAUACACAGACACAGAAUUCUGCUGGUCCUCUGGUUUGUGGAAGUUUAUUCUGAGUAGACAUGGAAAGCUGUUCCUAAAGAUAACUUAAAGGUUAUACCUGGUGCAUAAUAUUCUCACUUUUUGCGGAGUUUGGGAGAGGUGAUUGGACUGCCUUACCCCCAUUUUUUUUCUCCCCGGAGGGGCUGAUUCCUAGGCUUGAACACACAGUUUGUCGCUUUUGGUGGAAGGAAUUUACCACUGCACCAAGGCCAACCUCUUUCCCAACAACAAAAAAGAGUUUUCCUGUGGACCCCAUAAUAAUUAUUGAAAAUUCACUUACUGCCCCAUUGAAAAUAGAAUUUCCUUUUGAAUUGAUACCAUGGAUUAUUUGGUUUUGGUUAUUCUUAAGUCCAUGAGUCCCUAGUUAAUGAGCUUAGUCCAAAUGUCACUUCCUCCUCUCAUAAUAAUGGGAUGGAGGUUGAGGUCAUUGGUUUAAUACUCAUUUGCAUGUAUAACUUACCAAUAAAAAUAAUCCAUGAGUCCCUGUACUGGGGAUGAAUCUAAGCACUGUCCAGACUUGAGGAUUUAGCUAUUAAGAUGCAAUAAUAAUUCUAUUUUGUUGAAUGGUAUUAGGAUGUUAAUUCAUGUAUUUUGAUAUGUUAUUUAUUUAUUCUUUAAAUCGUGACAUUUUUCUUGUCUGGUAGGGUUAUUAUAGUUUCAGCCAGAAAUUGAAGCAUAUUGUUCGCUUCCCUUUUGCCAUCACUGCAUAUGGUAUGUAAGCAUGAAUUUUUUUUCCUGUCCUCAGCCACCACCCCCCCUCCCCCCUCCCUCUUUCUAUUUUUGGUUUCUUUGGAAUCUGAAAGAAUAUAGAUGGUUCUCACUGAAGUUAACUAGAGAGCAAGGAUUCAUGUAGUUAGAUCAUAGUUGUUGGGAUUUUAUCUUUGCAAUAAUUGUUGUUAUUAUUGGACUUGUUUCAAAUAUUUUGGUUCAAUGAUAGGAACUGCUGCAAUGCUACUAAUCAUGGUAUGGAAACCCCGCAUCUAUUUUCUUUCCAUCUCAACAAUACUAAGGUACACAUACUAUCUAAUUGUGCUGAUUAACAUUUAUCUGCAAGAUAUACUGCUUCAUGUAAUAAAGUUGAGAUAAAAGGGCAAAAAAAAAAAAUUGCAAGAAUUUUCCUCUUUGGACUAUAAACAAUACCUCUUAAAUUUAGAUGAUCUUGAAUGUGAAUUUUUUUUUCUCAAAUUAUAAUACAAACUACAAAGUGAAUCAACAAAGGAAGAGAUUAAUCUUUUACUGUGAACUCUAUUGUAAGUGAAUUAACCUAAAGGAGUUUAGUUUGACCAAAAAGACUUUUUCACUGUCCAGAAUCUUUUUUGUUGUUGCCAUAAAUGUUCAGAUUCCUGAUCUAGAUAUGUUUAAUUUGUUUAUAAAAAGCCUAAGGAACUAUUCAUAGGUUUGAACUUUAAUGGUAGGAAGCAUGAGUGCAGAUUUACAGUACAGAUACAUUGGUAUGGCAAUUUUUAGAAAAGUAUAUAAUACAAUCUGGUGUGGAUGUAUUAAUAAAUGAACAUACUUUUGUAAAUCUUCAAGGUAUAUCCUGUACUUGUAACCAAUGAGUAUGUGGUAAAAUUUUUACAUCAAGUUAUUGACAAAUUUUGGGUACACCCAUAAAGUAUUGAAUACAUAUUGAGAUUUAUCUCUUUCUAAUUUUGCAUUAUUGAUCUUUAACACUUAAAUAUUGAUUGUUAUGUCAUGACACAAUGGAUUAUUGUCAACUUACCAUCCUAUCUGUUGGUAGCUUGUAGUUAAAUAUGUUUAAUGUGAAUGCUACUUCUCCAAAUUGUAUUCUGGUUUAGUUUAUGAUUAAAUAUUGAUUGUGACUGUGCCAAGCUAUGUGCUGCUGACAAAACUUGGUUACCCAUAAAUCUGCAGGAUUAUUAUGGUAAUCGAAGCAAUAUGUGCUGGAUCUUUUAUGAGUGUCUAUAUUGGUGAGUUCUUACAUCCUAUUGACAUUUAAAGGAUUUGACAUACUAGAGACUUGUGAUUGAAUCCCGUCUUUAUUAAGGGGUUUGUGUGUGUGUGUGCGCAUGUGGGGGGGGUUAAGUUUAUGGGUUGGUAAAGUGGUACUCAUUGUUUCAACAUUUGUAUUCAACAGGCAUGGCUAUUGGAAAGAAUUUAUUGAAUCCCAAUGUUUCUGUUUAUAAUAAUUUCGAAGUUUCUCUAACCUGUAGGCCCUAGUUGCCUUUCCAAUUGUCUUAAUAAAUAAAACUACAUAAUUCCCAGUGGUUGUGUACUAUAUCCAUAUUAUACUAAGACCAAUUACAAGGUAACCUCAUAAGGUUGGUUGGUUUAUUUGGCUGUUUUUUUUAUUGGGUCUCUCUAAUAGGUAAAAAAUUACACACACCCAAUGAGUUUUGAACCCACACUUCACCUUGCUCUAACAAGGGGAUGAGAUACUGUUUGAACUAGAGCUCACAUACAAAAAAAGAAAAAGAAAAACAUGACCUAAUUUAUGUUUUGUUUCAUUCCAACUGCGGUUUCUGUAUAGUCCAAGAGAAAAGCAUUUUCUUCAGAGAAUAUUAGGAUUCCUUUUUUCUGCUACCCCUUAUGCUUUUGUUAUGAAAUUUUUUUGCAUGUUGUGGUGUUCUAUUUUUCUGAAUAUGAAGUUCUAAAUUCAUGUUGCAUUAGAGGUUAUAGAUUCCUUUAACUCUUUUCAAUGUGUAUUUUGGCAUUUGCAGGUUAUGUACACCAAUACAAUUCAUUGAAUUCUCAACCUGAUGUUUUAAAGUCAUUAUAUUCUCCACUUCAACCAUCAAGUUCUUUGGAAGGUUUGAGGUAAUCAUGGAGUUAUUGUUAAUUUUUUUAUUCCACUAUCCGUAUUCAACACACACACUCAUGCAUAUCUAUUAGUUGGAUUAUAUAUAACGCAAUAUGUGAUGCCAUAUAGCGAAUUUUGGUGCAUCAGAUAUCAUGAAGGCGGUCGACUCUCUGAUGAGCAAAUGGCUUUGUUGCAAUAUCAGCGUGAAAACCUUCAUUUCUUGAGUGAGGAGGUAUUUGAUGAUCUGAAAUUUACAAUUGGCAUUGCUCCUAUUGCACUGCAUUUCAUAUCCAACAGUUCAUUAUGUCAGCAUUAG
rnacentral:sRNA from 1 species